rnacentral:lncRNA from 1 species
AAAAAAAAUGAAAACUUUUACAGAAAAAACCGGGGGCAAUGGUCUCUCAGAUCUACACUUCACUUCCUUCCUAUUGGUAUUGAGGCAAGGAUCUCCACUCUGUGAUUGGCAUGCGGGAAAAUGGGUUUUGGGGCAAAGGACAAAAUGAUUUUUGAAGCAGAGAAGAAAAGAAGAAAACGGGCUGGGGAAAUGGGUUCAUCC